UACAGAGGGUGCAAGCGUUAAUCGGAAUUACUGGGCGUAAAGCGCGCGUAGGUGGACACUUAAGUCGGGUGUGAAAUCCCUGGGCUCAACCUGGGAAUUGCAUUCGAUACUGGGUGUCUCGAGUAUGGUAGAGGAAAGUGGAAUUCCCGGUGUAGUGGUGAAAUGCGUAGAUAUCGGGAGGAACACCAGUGGCGAAGGCGACUUUCUGGACCAAUACUGACAUUGAGGCGCGAAAGCGUGGGGAGCAAACAGG
rnacentral:misc_RNA from 1 species